UACGGGGGGGGCAAGCGUUGUUCGGAAUUACUGGGCGUAAAGGGCGCGUAGGCGGUCAGAUAAGUCAGCUGUGAAAACCUCGGGCUUAACCCGAGGCCUGCAGUUGAAACUGUUUGGCUGGAGUGUGGGAGAGGAGAGUGGAAUUCCCGGUGUAGCGGUGAAAUGCGUAGAUAUCUGGAGGAACACCGGUGGCGAAGGCGGCAUCCUGGACCGGUAUUGACGCUGAGGAGCGAAAGCCAGGGGAGCAAACGGG
rnacentral:rRNA from 1 species